rnacentral:rRNA from 1 species
GACGAACGCUGGCGGCGUGCCUAAUACAUGCAAGUCGAGCGAAGUUUUUCUGGUGCUUGCACUAGAAAAACUUAGCGGCGAACGGGUGAGUAACACGUAAAGAACCUGCCUCAUAGACUGGGACAACUAUUGGAAACGAUAGCUAAUACCGGAUAACAGCAUUAACUGCAUGGUUGAUGUUUAAAAGUUGGUUUCGCUAACACUAUGAGAUGGCUUUGCGGUGCAUUAGCUAGUUGGUGGGGUAAAGGCCUACCAAGGCGACGAUGCAUAGCCGACCUGAGAGGGUGAUCGGCCACACUGGGACUGAGACACGGCCCAGACUCCUACGGGAGGCAGCAGUAGGGAAUCUUCCGCAAUGGGCGAAAGCCUGACGGAGCAACGCCGCGUGAGUGAAGAAGGAUUUCGGUUCGUAAAGCUCUGUUGUUAGGGAAGAAUGAUUGUGUAGUAACUAUACACAGUAGAGACGGUACCUAACCAGAAAGCCACGGCUAACUACGUGCCAGCAGCCGCGGUAAUACGUAGGUGGCAAGCGUUGUCCGGAAUUAUUGGGCGUAAAGCGCGCGCAGGUGGUUUAAUAAGUCUGAUGUGAAAGCCCACGGCUCAACCGUGGAGGGUCAUUGGAAACUGUUAAACUUGAGUGCAGGAGAGAAAAGUGGAAUUCCUAGUGUAGCGGUGAAAUGCGUAGAGAUUAGGAGGAACACCAGUGGCGAAGGCGGCUUUUUGGCCUGUAACUGACACUGAGGCGCGAAAGCGUGGGGAGCAAACAGG